rnacentral:rRNA from 1 species
AAACGACAUCGAAAGCUUGCUUUUGAUGGGCGUCGACCGGCGCACGGGUGAGUAACGCGUAUCCAACCUGCCCACCACUUGGGGAUAACCUUGCGAAAGUAAGACUAAUGCCCAAUGACAUUUAUAGAAGGCAUCUGAAAUGGAUUAAAGAUUUAUCGGUGAUGGAUGGGGAUGCGUCUGAUUAGCUUGUUGGCGGGGUAACGGCCCACCAAGGCUACGAUCGGUAGGGGUUCUGAGAGGAAGGUCCCCACAAUGGAACUGAGACACGGUCCAUACUCC